UUAAGUUCAGCGGGUAUUCCUACCUGAUCCGAGGUCAACCUUAGAAAGAGUGUUUCACGGCAGGUGCCCGCCGCCACGUCCAGAGCGAGAUGUAACUACUGCGCUCGGAAUGACAGCGAGUCCGCCACUGCUUUUAGGGGGCUGCAGCAGCUGCAGGCCCCCAACACAAGCCUGGGGCUUGAUGGUUGAAAUGACGCUCG
rnacentral:misc_RNA from 1 species